rnacentral:rRNA from 1 species
AUUGAACGCUGGCGGCAGGCCUAACACAUGCAAGUCGAGCGGCAGCGGGAAAGUAGCUUGCUACUUUUGCCGGCGAGCGGCGGACGGGUGAGUAAUGCCUGGGAAAUUGCCCAGUCGAGGGGGAUAACAGUUGGAAACGACUGCUAAUACCGCAUACGCCCUACGGGGGAAAGCAGGGGACCUUCGGGCCUUGCGCGAUUGGAUAUGCCCAGGUGGGAUUAGCUAGUUGGUGAGGUAAUGGCUCACCAAGGCGACGAUCCCUAGCUGGUCUGAGAGGAUGGUCAGCCACACUGGAACUGAGACACGGUCCAGACUCCUACGGGAGGCAGCAGUGGGGAAUAUUGCACAAUGGGGGAAACCCUGAUGCAGCCAUGCCGCGUGUGUGAAGAAGGCCUUCGGGUUGUAAAGCACUUUCAGCGAGGAGGAAAGGUUGAUGCCUAAUACGUAUCAACUGUGACGUUACUCGCAGAAGAAGCACCGGCUAACUCCGUGCCAGCCGCCGCAGUAAGAC